rnacentral:rRNA from 1 species
GAUGAACGCUGGCGGCGUGCCUAAUACAUGCAAGUCGAGCGAACGGACGAGAAGCUUGCUUUUCUGAUGUUAGCGGCGGACGGGUGAGUAACACGUGGAUAACCUACCUAUAAGACUGGGAUAACUUCGGGAAACCGGAGCUAAUACCGGAUAAUAUUUUGAACCGCAUGGUUCAAAAGUGAAAGACGGUCUUGCUGUCACAUAUAGAUGGAUCCGCGCUGCAUUAGCUAGUUGGUAAGGUAACGGCUUACCAAGGCAACGAUGCAUAGCCGACCUGAGAGGGUGAUCGGCCACACUGGAACUGAGACACGGUCCAGACUCCUACGGGAGGCAGCAGUAGGGAAUCUUCCGCAAUGGGCGAAAGCCUGACGGAGCAACGCCGCGUGAGUGAUGAAGGUCUUCGGAUCGUAAAACUCUGUUAUUAGGGAAGAACAUAUGUGUAAGUAACUGUGCACAUCUUGACGGUACCUAAUCAGAAAGCCACGGCUAACUACGUG